CCCCCCCCCCCCCCAAAAAAAAAUUCUAAAUGGGUUUAUUAUGAAAUAUUGACUUCAAAUGUUAAAGAUGUAUGUAUACUAUGGCAUUUUCAGAUAUUAUAAUAUUUUUGUAAUGUAUGUACAUCACAAGAGAAUAAAUUAUCUUAUCAGUAUCUAGAACUACUUGGCACACUUUUGUUUUAUUCAAUAGUAAUAUUCUUCAAGAAAGAUAAUUAGUGUAAAAAAAUAUUUGAAAAAAAAAAGUCAAUAAUGAAUCUCAGAACAGCAGCCAAAGUUACAAUGUGCUGGUCUAUUUAAGUGUGAAAUAAUACAGCAGUUGUACAGUAAGUGGUGUCUCUGUUACAUGAUACUUAGAACACUUUUUUGGUUAGACAGUGUUGAACCAUUUUAUCUAUUCAUGUAGUAGGGAAAUGACAGAACACUUUUUUGGUUAGACAGUGUUGAACCAUUUUAUCUAUUCAUGUAGUAGGGAAAUGACA